rnacentral:lncRNA from 13 species
ACAUGAUUGAGUACCGUGUCAAAGUGUCCGAUAUUCUACCUCUGGACUUUUCACGGGAUGUCGUCGGGCGUCCUGCAUUUCGUUCUACCUGGACUUCGUCGGCAUUGCGUGAGAUUGACGUCGUUGCUACAACUCCGUUACUGCACAUCGCAUUGUGUUGAAUGCAAUGGGCAAAUGUGAGAGGAUGAGCGGACUUGGAAAGCAUCAGCCGACGUCGGAACAACCAU